UGAAGGCCACAGACCCUGGCUGCCGCCGGUUCGCUCAGAACGACAGGACUUUAGCCCAAUACCCUUCAGUCGUUUGCCACGAAGGUGUCUUUUUCCCUGUUCUGUGCUCUGUAGUGCACAAAAUAACUUCUUUUGGUGAUCAGCCGCCUUGGCUGCUUGCCACAUACACAUGAGUGCUGCAUAAACCUGUGGGUGAAAGCGCCACUGCUGAACUGUCUUCUCCGAAUGUCCCGGAUCUUGCCACUCUGAAGUAAUGUGCCGAAUACGCUGAGCAACCAAAAUCGCUAUUCAAUAGGAGUUUCUUUCGGGUUUUGUCCUUCUACUCCAUAGGAUAUCCCACUGACCUUCCAUUCUGAGAACACUGAAGUGAAGGUCCUCCUGACAAUAGAGUAGUAUGCUGAAGCCUUGGGCCUGUGACAAUCCUGCUUGCGUCCUCCUGGAAGAGUGGGCUGUGACCUCCACUUACCCCAGUUAUGUAAGCAUUGGUCAGCCAGUUCCCAUAAAGCUCUUCUUGGACCUACUUGCACCUUUCAACUUAAUGAUUUUAUAGGUUACAAGAGGUGUGGCUGCCAGAUUGCCAUAGAGACCUUUGCUCUACUAACCUUUUUCCCCCCAAUGAAAAGUUAAAUAAAAAUCUUAACCAGCAAUUCAACAAGGAAUUGCAUAUAUUUUAAGUAAAAUGUUCUCUUUCACCCUGAGGAAUGCUUGAAAGCCUUGUACUUCAAAUUCAAUUUGUUUCCCAUGUUUCCCAUUCUAUUUUUUUUCUUUACUUUUCCAGCCAAGUAGUGUAAUUGAGUUAUCAAAACGGAAAAAAAUAAAGACCUGAGAAUUA